rnacentral:lncRNA from 1 species
GGGGGACGACUGUGGAGAGACAGAGAAGUGCGAGCCUGGGGCUGAGCGAAGACGGGAUCCCCUUUUUGACCCUCCAGGGAACAGGCGCCUGGGGAGUUUUACCCUUGAUAAUAAUAAUGACUACUUAUCAAGAUGAAUACCAUCCCCUCAAAAGGAAGGCAUUUCAAGAAAAAAAAUCCCCCAAAUGCAAAAUUAUCUAAAAAAUGCUUAGGUAAGAAAACAUUUUGAUGUAGGUAGAAUAUUUCGAAACAUUAUUUUUCUAGGAAAUAGAAUUCUCAUUCAUUCUGCCCGCUAUUAGUUACUGUCCAGCUUUUCAACAUCUUCCAAAUAUUUAAUAGCACUUCAAUCUUAAAAUUCUUAAAAUAAAAGAAAUUAAAGUGACA